rnacentral:lncRNA from 1 species
GUUGAUAAUGAACCUCUUGAGGCUAUCCUUUUGCAUGCUGGUCUUCAGUUGUCCAUGGUUCUUUGAGGGGACUCUCCUGUGUCUAAACUUUUCCCUGAAGCCUUAGACUUAAGGUCUUUGUUAACUCUCCCUGAAGAAGGGGGUCAGGCUCUCUUUCAGGGGUAAGGAGACCUAAGGUACCAGAUGCCGUAUGUCUUAAAACUCUGCCCUCUGCAUCUGUUUCUGUACUGACUUCCCUCCAGCACACCCUCUACAGUCCUCCAAGUAAAAACAGCUUCUGAUGAGGCCAUCAGAUGCAGCUACUGAGCCCCUGGAAGACCCAUGAUGAUUUGUACAGGUCUACAAAUCUGGUGCUGAGAAGAAAUCUAACUCUAGGUCCCUUGCUCAUGAGUGUGUGCCAGGUGACUAUAAGCAAAUAAAGUGUGAUCAACACAGUGCAUUGUAUGCUUAUGGACUUAAUAAAUAUGCUACUAAUGGUAACAGUGCACAGACUCCCUUGUGGCCAUGAGGCAGGGUGAAGAGAGAGGAGAACUAUCAGGACAGUUACAUCUGGAACAAAGCAGAGGUCAAAAUGCACACAGCAAAUAGAGAUGGAAGAUGCUGGCAGAAUGACAGCUAUGUUGUUCUGGAUUCUCCAAGAAGCAAAUGCUGAGUAGGAUUAAAUGUGAAAGGACUUUAUUAGGGGAAAUAUUUGUGUGAAAGGAAAUAGAAGGGUACUUAAGAAGGAUGGAAGAGCCUUCAGGCCAUGAAGUAAUCUGAUCUUGAGUAAAGAAGAGAGGGAGAGAAGGUUGGUGGAAGCGUCCAAGACUGCCUGCCAUGAAGUCUAAAUUCGUCAAAACCAUCAUGCAGUCAGAGAGCCAAAGUCAGCCAACAAGGAGUCUUGUAUCUCCCAGCAAUGGGUCUGCCUCACCAGCCCCAUUGUGCUCAGCUAUUGGCAGGGAGCAGUCCAUGGGGGGUGUGGCCUCAGAGAUGGAUUUUAAAGCAUAGCAGCUGGGGCUGUCAGUCAAUUAGGCUUCAUGUACAGGAAGGUCUGCAAGGCAAAUUUUCAUGCCCAGCAAAGCAGCCAAAUCCAGAAUAGAUGUAAG